rnacentral:rRNA from 1 species
UACGGAGGGUGCAAGCGUUAAUCGGAAUUACUAGGCGUAAAGCGCACGCAGGUGGCUGAGUCAGUCGAUUGUGAAAGCCCUGGGCUUAACCUGGGAAUUGCAGUCGAUACUACUCGGCUCGAGUAUGGGAGAGGGCAGUGGAAUUCCCGGUGUAGCGGUGAAAUGCGUAGAUAUCGGGAGGAACAUCAGUGGCGAAGGCGGCUGCCUGGCCCAAUACUGACACUCAGGUGCGACAGCGUGGGGAGCAAACAGG